UACGUAGGUGGCGAGCGUUAUUCGGAUUUAUUGGGCGUAAAGGGUUCGUAGGGGGUUACAUAAGUCUGAUGUGAAAUCCUGAGGCUCAACCUCAGAACUGCAUUGGAAACUGUGUGACUUGAGUAUCGGAGAGGUAAGUGGAAUUCCUGGUGUAGCGGUGGAAUGCGUAGAUAUCAGGAGGAACACCAAUGGCGAAGGCAGCUUACUGGACGAUUACUGACCCUGAGGAACGAAAGCUGGGGGAGCGAAC
rnacentral:rRNA from 1 species